CAAUAGCGUAUAUUAAAGUUGUUGCAGUUAAAAAGCUCGUAGUUGGAUUUGUGGCAGUGACUUGCAGCCCUUCACUUUGUGUUGUGGUCCUGCAGGACACGCCAUCUUUGGGCGGAAGCUGUGUGGCAUUAGGUUGUCGUGCAGGGAAGCCCAUCGUUUACUGUGAAAAAAUUAGAGUGUUCAAAGCAGGCUUAUGCCGUUGAAUAUAUUAGCAUGGAAUAAUGAGAUAGGGCCUCGGUACUAUUUUGUUGGUUUGCGCACUGAGGUAAUGAUUAACAGGGACAGUUGGGGGUAUUCGUAUUCCAAUGUCAGAGGUGAAAUUCUUGGAUUUUUGGAAGACGGACGACUGCGAAAGCAUUUACCAAGGAUGUUUNCAUUA
rnacentral:rRNA from 1 species